rnacentral:rRNA from 1 species
GAACCAGACUCCUACGGGAGGCAGCAGUGGGGAAUAUUGGGCAAUGGGCGCAAGCCUGGCCCAGCAACGCCGCGUGAAGGAAGACGGUUUUCGGAUUGGAAACCUCUGUCCUCUGUGAAGAUAAUGACGGUAGCAGAGGAGGAAGCUCCGGCUAACUACGUGCCAGCAGCCGCGGUAAUACGUAGGGAGCGAGCGUUAUCCGGAUUUACUGGGUGUAAAGGGGGCGCAGACGGCGAUGCAAGCCAGGAGUGAAAGCCCGGGGCCCAACCCCGGGACUGCUCUUGGAACUGCGUGGCUGGAGUGCAGGAGGGGCAGGCGGAAUUCCUGGUGUAGCGGUGAAAUGCGUAGAUAUCAGGAGGAACACCGGUGGCGAAGGCGGCCUGCUGGACUGCAACUGACGUUGAGGCCCGAAAGCGUGGGGAGCAAACAGGAUUAGAUGCCCUAGUA